AUUGAACGCUGGCGGCAUGCCUUACACAUGCAAGUCGAACGGUAACGGGCCUUCGGGUGCCGACGAGUGGCGAACGGGUGAGUAAUGUAUCGGAACGUACCUUUCAGUGGGGGAUAACGUAGCGAAAGUUACGCUAAUACCGCAUAUUCUGUGAGCAGGAAAGCAGGGGAUCGCAAGACCUUGCGCUGAUUGAGCGGCCGAUAUCAGAUUAGCUAGUUGGUGAGGUAAAGGUUCACCAAGGCGACGAUCUGUAGCGGGUCUGAGAGGAUGAUCCGCCACACUGGAACGGAGACACGGUCCAGACUCCUACGGGAGGCAGCAGUGGGGAAUUUUGGACAAUGGGGGCAACCCUGAUCCAGCCAUGCCGCGUGAGUGAAGAAGGCCUUCGGGUUGUAAAGCUCUUUCGGCCGGGAAGAAAUCGUAUCAGCUAAUACCUGGUGCGGAUGACGGUACCGGCAUAAGAAGCACCGGCUAACUACGUGCCAGCCGCCGCAGUAAGAC
rnacentral:rRNA from 1 species